AUGAGAAAGCGACAGGACGGGUUCUGUGUAUAAGAAGAUGGCUUACCUCGCGCAGCGAGAGGUAACCGUAAGCGACAAGAGGUAAAAUCACUAGAUAUAUAAAGUACCGCAAUUCAUGAAACCCAUGCUUUAGCAGAUUGGACUGAAAAUGGCGUCGAAAAGUGUAUAUAGUGUACACUUUAUGUCAUAGAUAUACACUUAGUAUAAGUCGCGUAAUGUAUCGUGACAGUUAUUAUCGUAUGCGACUGAAAGGAAAAAGACAUGUGUAAAACGUAAAUAAUCAACGAACGAAAUGUCAGCGUGUUGUAUCGAUAAUUGUAACAACCGUAGUGAAAAGGGAUUUCGACUUUUCGGUGUUCCAUCAGCACAGAAAAGGCGAGACGAAUGGAUGGUACUGAUUGGGAAAAAUACAUUACCGAAAUGGGCUGCAGUUUGUGAGGUAUAAUCAAGGAAGUAUAAUUGCAUGUGCACUUUGAUGAAAAUCAAUUUGAGCAACAUAGACAAGAUGGAAGAAAAUUGCUUCGUCCUUUUGCUACACCGAAUCUAUUGCUGAAACGCAUAGUUGCUACAAACACAAUACAUACAUCCAAACAUGAAAUAUUAGAUUGGUACAGAUGAAAUGGCCAUUUUUUAAUUCUUAAUUUAAAUUUUUAUUCGAUUCACUUUAUAUACAUCUCGUCAAUCGAAAUAGUCUCCCUCCACCUCAAUAUACUUCCCCCAACGUGAUACAAGCGCAUCAAUGCCUUGUACGUAGAAAUUAGAAGAGCGAGAUGCAAGAAAUUCGUUGAACGCAUUUUUCACGUCGCUUUCUGUUUGGAAUAUCUUUUCACUUAAAAGUUAUCCAGAUGUUUAAAUAAAUGGUAAUCAGUUGGAGAAAGGUCAGGAGAAUAAGGAGGGUGAGGGAGAACUUCGCAUUUGUAUUCUGUUAAUGUUUCUACAGUUUUUUUUUGCGGUCUAGCAUUAUUAUGGAGCAAUAACAUACCGCGUCUAUUUAAUAACGCCGGCUGUUCAAUACGCAGUUUUCCCAGCACAAUGUCAAUUUCUUGUCAAUAUCUGUCAGCAUUUAUAGUUUCACCUUUUUUCAAAAACGAAAAAUGCAUAAUACCCUUGGCAAACCACCAUACAGAUACCAUAACUGUACGUGGAUGAAGACUCGGUUUCGGCAUGUGUUUCGGAGUUUGAUCAGCAUCUAAGCACUGGGCAAAACGUCGACGAUUGUCAUAAAGAACCUACUUUUCAUCACACGUUACUAUUCGAUUCAAUAUUCCUUCAUUAUUGUGUCGGGAAAGCAAAGAUGAGCUGAUUUCCAUACAGUGAAGCUUGUCUCUCUCACAAGUAACACUACCUAACUGAUACUCACCGAUUUGAAUGAAACCUAACAUACUUAUUAAA